AGUGAACGCUGGCGGUAGGCCUAACACAUGCAAGUCGAACGGCAGCACAGUAAGAGCUUGCUCUUACGGGUGGCGAGUGGCGGACGGGUGAGGAAUACAUCGGAAUCUACUUUUUCGUGGGGGAUAACGUAGGGAAACUUACGCUAAUACCGCAUACGACCUACGGGUGAAAGCAGGGGAUCUUCUGACCUUGCGCGAUUGAAUGAGCCGAUGUCGGAUUAGCUAGUUGGCGGGGUAAAGGCCCACCAAGGCGACGAUCCGUAGCUGGUCUGAGAGGAUGAUCAGCCACACUGGAACUGAGACCCGGUCCAGACUCCUACGGGAGGCAGCAGUGGGGAAUAUUGGACAAUGGGCGCAAGCCUGAUCCAGCCAUACCGCGUGGGUGAAGAAGGCCUUCGGGUUGUAAAGCCCUUUUGUUGGGAAAGAAAAGCAGCAGGUUAAUACCCCGCUGUUCUGACGGUACCCAAAGAAUAAGCACCGGCUAACUUCGUG
rnacentral:rRNA from 1 species